CCUACGGGCGGCAGCAGUGAGGAAUAUUGGUCAAUGGGCGAGAGCCCGAACCAGCCAAGUCGCGUGAGGGAUGACUGCCCUACGGGUUGUAAACUUCUUUUGUAAGGGAGUAAUGUGCUUCACGUGUAGAUUUUUGUCUGUACUUUAUGAAUAAGGAUCGGCUAACUCCGUGCCAGCAGCCGCGGUAAUACGGAGGAUCCGAGCGUUAUCCGGAUUUAUUGGGUUUAAAGGGAGCGUAGAUGGGUUGUUAAGUUAGUUGUGAAAGUUUGCGGCUUAACCGUAAAAUUGCAAUUGAUACUGGCAGGCUUGAGAACAGACGAGGUAGGCGGAAUUAGUGGAGUAGCGGUGAAAUGCAUAGAUAUCACGAAGAACUCCGAUUGCGAAGGCAGCUUACUAAACUGACACUGACACUGAUGCACGAAAGCAUGGGUAGCAAACAGGAUUAGAUACCCUAGUAGUC
rnacentral:rRNA from 1 species